GGGGGGAAGUCCUCCUGCCUGACUACCUUUGAACUGGGACAUGUGCCUUUUUUUUCUGCCUUCAGACUCAAACUAAACGUCAGCUUUUCCCGGCUCUCAAGCCUGCUGGUCCCUGAACUAAAACUCACAUUAUCAACUCUACUGGUUCUUAGGCCUUUGGAGUCAGACUGGAACUACAGCAUUGACUCUUCCGGAACUCCAGCUUACUGACUACAGAUCUUGGAACUUUUCAGCUUCCACAACCAUAAUGAAAGCCAAGCAUAUUCCAUCAUUUCCUAAAACCAAGAUAGAGCACAUAUGGGAACUUGUGAAAUAAGCUUCUUUGGACCUUUUAAGUUGCAUUAUCCCAUAAAAUGUGGUGGAUUCAAUGUUGUAUGGCCUGUAAAACUAAGUAAUGAAGGCUGAUAUGUACCCACCUGGCUCUGUCUUGGGAUCACACAACUUGGGAGCCAAAACAGGUGAGGAUGGGGAGGUGUCAAACAAGACCUAACCUCUCAACAAUCAGCUGGACACUGUUGUGUAAGAAUGUGAAGCUUGGCACUGCUGCAGCCAUCUUGUUCCAGGAAGGGUAAAACCUGAGGUUAGAAGCCAACAUCCUAAUGAUGGCAGAGAAGACAAAGAGAACCAGAGUCUAAAUGACAUUGUUGAGUUAGAUCACUACACUACCUCUAGUCUUCUUUUUAUGUGUGAUAAUAAAUCUCACUUAUACUUAA
rnacentral:lncRNA from 1 species